UCACGAAAUGGUUUGAGCUAAUUAUAUAUAGUUUUUAUAGAUUAUAUUCAGUGUGUGGUAUAACAUUGGCAAAAGAUGUAAUUAGGGGUGAUAGGCUUUUCAAGGACCAGGAUAUCUUGAUAGCACUUAAACGUAUUUAGUACGCGAAACAAAUAUAAAGUGUUUAGGCUUUAUAUGGCCCCAAAAGUUAAUCCAAAAACUUAAGGUUUAACAAUCUUUUGAUUAUUCUAUAUAGUACAAAUAUUUGAGGUUUGGGGGUAUUCUGUGCUUCUAUGAUAGUUAAGUUAUAUAGUAAUAAUGUUACCAUAAGUAUGUAUAUAGGCAUCUAUAAUGAACUCGGCAAUAAAUAUUCUUAACUGUUUACCAAAAACAUAGCUAUAUGGGCGUAUAUAUAGUUUUUUCUGCCCAAUGUAAUAUAAAUGGCCGCAGUACUCUGACUGUGCAAAGGUAGCAUAAUAAAUUGGCUUAUAAUUGAAGUCUAGUAUGAAAGAAAAUAUGGGAAUAGACUGUAUAGAAGAUGUUUUUAAAAAUUACUAAAUAAGUGAAAAGGCUUACAUAUAAAUAAUAGACGAGAAGACCCUAGAAAUUUUAAAGAUAAAUACAGGUAUAGUUUUUGUUGGGGCGACACAGUAACAUUAAAACUUACUAAGGUGGAUGUGAUUUCUAUAUUACGAGUAAUUAAAUUACUCUAGGGAUAACAGCAUAAUAUUAUAAAGUUUGUGACCUCGAUGUUGGAUUAGGAUACUACCGCCCAGAAGGUUACUAGUGAGGCUCUGUUCGAGCAAUUACUCCUACAUGAUCUGAGUUCAGACCGGCGUAAGCCAGGUCAGUUUCU
rnacentral:rRNA from 1 species